AAAAAUUAAUGAGAAAAAAAAUUUAGGGAUUAAUCAUUCUUAAACAAUUUAAUAAAGUUGCGGAUUCAAAUUAUAAGUUUGCAAGAUUUGAGGAAAAAAAACAUUUGAGUCUUGAAAUACAUGAAUAAUUGUAUUUUAGAGUAUGAAAAUUUGAGUUUAGCUCCAAUAUGAUUGGAAAUGGCCUCAAAGGAAGAGAAAUUAGUCUACCAAAAUUUUGAUAUGAUUAACGAAAAAGCUCUCUACCAAUCGAAGUUUCAUGUAUCUAUAAUCUACGUCCAAAAAAAAAAAAAAAAAAAAAAACUGAAUAUACAAUAGGCGGCCAAUGCGGCAGUAGCUGCACUACAAUCGAAUAUGGACUCGAAAACCGAUGUGUCCUUGUUCCUGCACCCGUACACUAACUUGUACCCGUUUGGGGCCCAAGCGUCAUGGACCCACCGUCUUACAUUACGCAUCCCCAAUCCAAUCAGCAGUUUCCAUACGUAUACUGACGCGUAACCUGCAAUGACGAAAAUACCACCUUCGUCUCCCAACCCAGCCAAUUAACCCCCGGGUACAACAGCAACCCUAUGAAUCCGGCUGCCCACAAUUAAUCCACCUCCUCACGACCCCACAGCUCCUGAGAUAUUUUCUUCUCUCUCCACGACACGAACCAAAAAAAUCAUUAUUUUUAUGUAUAAAAAUUUGCAACGCUUGGUUUCGUUCCUUCUGGUUUCUUCCGGAUUCGAGUUCUUCCUGAUAAACCAGAUCGUCGUCUUCUCCUUAACUUGAAUUGAGGUUUUUGAUCAUUCACUCUUCGUUCUCGCUACUGCGAUGUCUCAGAGAGCAGCAAAUGAAAUUUCCAUGGCUUCGUUUCCACGCUCACAGUAGAGUUUCUGGCUGGGAUGAGUAUUUGGCGUUAAUGGUUUUUGUUUGAUCAGUGAGGUUGAUGGGCUGCAUUGGAUUAUAAUUAGUAUGACAGAUUCUAAAGUUUGUUUCAUUGAACAUUUCAUACCAAAGCUGCUGGUACCUCUGCUGGAUGCAUUUACUAUAUGUAGACAUGUGAUGCCUUCUCAAGUUCAAGGUCCGGCUAUUAUAGAGAGUUAGACGCUCACUAUAUUACGCACUGUAUGGUGGUUUGGAUAUCUAACAGCAGAUCAUGGAUUAUUGAAUUAAACAAAAGAGCUGCUGGUCAUUGGUCACUGUUUAAUUGAUUUAAUGGAAAGUGGAAGUUGAGGAGAACAAGUAUAUGUGGACCGUAGAGAACCUGCAGAAUGGCAUCAAGAAUAACCUUGUAAUUGACCAUGGUUACUGGUUGAGGGAACAUUUGGUUUAUGCCUACAAUGUUACAUUACUUUAGUUUAGAUUCGGUUAUUUAGAAUAGUUUUGCAGGGAAACCUAGGAGGCUAAGCUUUUUUAGAUGCAUGUUAAUGUAAGUGCAUGAGCCUACAGUUAAACAUAAAUUGUGUGAAGGAAGCUUAAAACUAGGCAAGUAGCUUGUAAGACAUUGCAUUUAGUUGUUCGGCAGCUCACUUGAACAACAAUUAACAGAAUAGCACUUGAAUGUAAGCAGAAAGUAGGAAGAGUGGUGUCUCUUUUAGCUUAAUGAUGGCGGAAAACAGAUAAAGCAUUUGGGGUUCAUCCCUUCACAUAUAGAAAGGAUUGCAAUUGAUUUCUAAUGAGCCAUUUGGAUAAGCUUCAUGACUAGUUGAGGAAUUGUAUCUCGUCAGUUUUCUCAUAAAUUAUAGGAGGCUUCAGGCAUAGGUUUUGUUGAGUUAUUUGGUUGGGUGAGUGCACACUUGCAGGAUUCAAAUUUUUGUAAAGAUUAUGAUGUCAUUGAUAUGCUCUGCCUAACUAGUGACAAAGUGAUAGUUAUUAGGGAUAUCUUGUUUUUGUUUGGCUAUGGAGAAUUAUGUCAUCUACGUCCAUGUGAAUUCUCAUUGAACAGCUCUGUAAUCUGGUCAUAGAUGUUUCUUAUCAGUUCCUAGAGGAAGAACCAAGUAUAAAAUAAGGAUCUUAUUGACCUUUGUUAAUGUACUCUAACUGGUGGCCUAACAUUGCAUCAGAAAAUGUUCUGUCCCAUUGAGUAAGUUGUACUUAUUCUGACUUCUCUUUUUUCUUGUGAUACUUGGAUUUGAUGGGCAUCUCAUUCAUCCUACUUGUAUCAUUUCUAAUAUAGAUUUGUUGCGUAUAUUUGAAAAUAAAAAAAGUAAGCAAGAGCAAGUGCAAAGAAGACUUGUAGGGCAUCAAUUAUAGAUCAUAUGCUUAGAGAUAAAAAAAAAUUCAUUUCUUUUACCCACUCAUUAUAAAAUUUGAUCUUCCUUAUGUUACAUACACAUGUGCAUGAUCGCAUGCCUGCAAACACACACACAAAUGUGCACAUGCAAAGAUUGGAGUAAUUCUCAAAAUUCUCUAGCUUAUGGCCAUGACUUGAAAUUAAAUUUACAUGCAUCUGUGCACAAUAUGAAUUGUUUUGGACGCCAUUCAGGUGCAUCUCAUAUUUCUAGCUAUGGCCUCUUAUAUUUAACACUUGAAUGUUUUUAAUUUCUUGUUUGAUCUCACAUGUGCAUCUUCUGCGGGCCCUAAUGGUCAGCUGUUUGCUUAUUUAAGCUUACACUAAAUGCGGUGACUACUGUUUGGUUAGAGUUGUUAAGAGCAGGUGACUGUAUCAUUCUACUGAUGGAACAGCAAGAACGCUAACCAAUGGCUCACGCUUAGCUGAAAUUCAAGGAUGUUACCUGCCGCGCAUAGAGCAAUUGAUAACAACAUUUCACUGUUUGAAUAUUCAUGCAUACGGAAAUCGCUUGCCAACUUCAUGUCUGUCGCCAUUUGGUUCCAGCAUAAAAAGAUUUUUCAUUCUUCACUUGUUUCUUCAAUUUGGUUGCACAUCACUAAAGAAAUUCUCUUGGGAUGUGUUGCUUUACAUUUCCAGAAUCCAUAUGUUGGCACAACUGGAAAUUGAAUUAUGCCUUCCACCGUACUGCUGACCUAGUCUAAAGUUUGCCGUUGGAUCAAUACAUGAACUUCUUUCUUCUUGUUUCAGAAUUCUGACUCCCGGAAACCUUUGGUUAAUUAAAUUUCAGGCUGGUAGUACUGCACUAUCUAUCAUCUUAGGAAUAAAAGGCCCUCCAAUUGGAAUUAAGUUGGAAUAGUCUGGAAUUGCUUGUUAUUCCAGACAAACGAACUAUUAUUCAAUGGAAUUAUGCUGAAGCUUGUGCUUGGAAUUCAUGGUGCCAUCAAAGCUUCAGCACCAACAUACUUUCUCUUAAACUUUUGUUCUUUUCUUCUGCAAAUGCAAACAAAUGGGCAUUAGCUCAAGGUGUUGCUUUAUUGCAAAUGGAAUAUUGUACAGAAGAUCAGUUUACGCACCUCUUGGCAUAGCAUCUACAUUUUCCCUUUA